UUGGUUGAAACUAAUGAUUUGAAAGUUAUGAGGGAGUGGGAGAAUCCAAGGAUGUGCAAACAUUUUACUACUUCAUUGAGUCAAAUAACAACCCUAAGGAAGAUCCUCUCCUGCUUUGGCUAUCCGGUGGCACUGGUUGCUCAUCCCUAACUCGCCUUUUUCUUGAAAUAGGUGCGGGACAGAAUUGCUCCAGGUUUACCUUCACAAUUUCAUUCACCUUAUUCAAUUCCAACCUUCGUACCCUGUCCUUUACUUAUUCUCAAUGGUGCGAAAGAUCCCCUGGAAAUNCCAAGAGCAAAGGCANGCCUGGUAUACAGAAAGUUUCACUGUUUAGAUAAUUUCAAGGUAUGAACCUG